rnacentral:rRNA from 1 species
GGCAGCAGUGGGGAAUAUUGCACAAUGGGCGCAAGCCUGAUGCAGCCAUGCCGCGUGUGUGAAGAAGGCCUUCGGGUUGUAAAGCACUUUCAGCGAGGAGGAAGGUGGUGAGCUUAAUACGUUCAUCAAUUGACGUUACUCGCAGAAGAAGCACCGGCUAACUCCGUGCCAGCAGCCGCGGUAAUACGGAGGGUGCAAGCGUUAAUCGGAAUUACUGGGCGUA